CCUACGGGUGGCAGCAGUGGGGAAUAUUGGACAAUGGGGGCAACCCUGAUCCAGCCAUGCCGCGUGUGUGAAGAAGGCCCUCGGGUUGUAAAGCACUUUCAGUGAGGAAGAACGCCUGGUGGUUAAUACCCAUCAGGAAAGACAUCACUCACAGAAGAAGCACCGGCUAACUCCGUGCCAGCAGCCGCGGUAAUACGGAGGGUGCGAGCGUUAAUCGGAAUUACUGGGCGUAAAGCGCGCGUAGGUGGCUUGAUAAGCCGGUUGUGAAAGCCCCGGGCUCAACCUGGGAACGGCAUCCGGAACUGUCAAGCUAGAGUGCAGGAGAGGAAGGUAGAAUUCCCGGUGUAGCGGUGAAAUGCGUAGAGAUCGGGAGGAAUACCAGUGGCGAAGGCGGCCUUCUGGACUGACAAUGACACUGAGGUGCGAAAGCGUGGGUAGCAAACAGGAUUAGAUACCCUUGUAGUC
rnacentral:rRNA from 1 species